rnacentral:rRNA from 1 species
UGCAGUCGAACGGGAACUCUGGAUUCGUCUGGGGGGGAGAGUGGCGAACGGGUGAGUAACACGUAGGCGACCUGCCCCGAAGACGGGGAUAACCACUAGAAAUGGUGGCUAAUACCCGAUGUGCUCGGCGAUUCAUUUCGUCGAGUAAAGCUUUGGCGCUUCGGGAGGGGCCUGCGACCUAUCAGCUAGUUGGUAGGGUAACGGCCUACCAAGGCGAAGACGGGUAGGGGGCGUGAGAGCGCGACCCCCCACACUGGCAUUGAGACACGGGCCAGACUCCUACGGGAGGCAGCAGUCGGGGAUAUUGCGCAAUGGACGAAAGUCUGACGCAGCGACGCCGCGUGGGCGAUGAAGGCCUUCGGGUUGUAAAGCCCUUUUAUGGGGGAAGAGACAAGGACGGUACCCCAAGAAUAAGCGUCGGCUAACUACGUGCCAGCAGCCGCGGUAAAACGGUGGGGCGCGAGCGUUAUCCGGAUUUACUUGGGCGUAAAGGUGCGUUGAGGCGGUUCCGGUAAGUUGGACCGUGAAAGCCCCUGGCUCAACUGGGGGAGGUCGUUCAAUACUUGCCGGAACUUUGAGGGACAGCCUGAAGGGAGGUCGGAAUUCCCGGGUGUACCGGGU